rnacentral:rRNA from 1 species
UGAGUAACACGUAAACAACCUGCCUUCAGGAUGGGGACAACAGACGGAAACGACUGCUAAUACCGAAUACGCUUGGAAGACCGCAUGAUCUUCCAAGGAAAGGGUGGCCUCUACCUGUAAGCUAUCGCCUGAAGAGGGGUUUGCGUCUGAUUAGGCAGUUGGUGAGGUAACGGCCCACCAAACCUACGAUCAGUAGCCGGUCUGAGAGGAUGAACGGCCACACUGGAACUGAGACACGGUCCAGACUCCUACGGGAGGCAGCAGUGGGGAAUCUUCCGCAAUGGGCGAAAGCCUGACGGAGCAACGCCGCGUGAGUGAUGACGGCCUUCGGGUUGUAAAGCUCUGUGAUCGGGGACGAACGGUCCG